GCGCCCGUAGCUCAGAUGGAUAGAGUGCCACCCUCCGAAGGUGGAAGUCGCACGUUCGAAUCGUGUCGGGCGCACCA
rnacentral:tRNA from 1 species